GUCCAAGUUAAAAAUAUAUGCUGCAUUUUAUGAGUUAAAUUUGCUUUUGACUAUUGUGUAUGCAGAAUGUGCCAUUUUUACAUGAAGGUCUAGAUCCUACAUCACUUGAUAUUAAUAUGAUACAGGAAUUCAAUUCAGGUCUAGGUCCUACAUCACUUGAUAUUAAUAUGACACAGGAAUUCAAUUCACAGGAUACCUUCAUUCCCAGUCAAAGAGAAAAUGAACGUGGUCCUUCACUUCUUCUUUUACCGCGAUGGGAAGACAUUUGAGUGCAUGUUAAAAACAUUUGAGUGCUUGGUUCUGUUUUGUUUAAGUUUUAGAGAUUCAGUCAUUUGUUUCUGGUGUA